rfam:Picea glauca, whole genome shotgun sequence.
UAUAACAUAACAUUAAUGCACCAGAUCCCAUUAGAACUCUGCAAUUAAGUGUGCUCAUUCUAGAGUAGUACUGGAAUGGGUGACCACCCAAGAAUUCCUAGUGUUUUAC